rnacentral:rRNA from 1 species
UACGUAGGUGGCAAGCGUUGUCCGGAUUUACUGGGCGUAAAGGGCUCGUAGGCGGCCAACUAAGUCGGAUGUGAAAUCCCCAGGCUUAACCUGGGAACUGCAUCCGAUACUGGAUGGCUUGAAUCCGGGAGAGGGAUGCGGAAUUCCAGGUGUAGCGGUGAAAUGCGUAGAUAUCUGGAGGAACACCGGUGGCGAAGGCGGCAUCCUGGACCGGCAUUGACGCUGAGGAGCGAAAGCCAGGGGAGCAAACGGG